rnacentral:tmRNA from 1 species
GGGGGCGACUGGUUUCGACAUGAUAGUUCUGAAAGAGGCAGCAUGCGGUGGUCUCCUCGCCACCUUAAACAGGGGUACCGUCAAAAUUAAUUGACAAUCGUAGCUAUGCCCUCGCCGCCUAAACAAAGGCUGCGACGUUUCGUUGGGAUACAUCCCCGCUCCCGAUAGAGACGCCACUCAGGGGAAUGCUCCUGCGCACGUAGCCGGUAUGGCGUAGGAAAAGACUGAACCGACUGGCAAAGGGCACAUCUGUCUGAUGGGGUGCCCGGCGCGAGACUUUCCGUCAGACUGAGCAUGGAGAUACCGCUUGAAGAGCUGUUAUGGACCGGAGUUCGAUUCUCCGCGCCUCCACCA